rnacentral:rRNA from 1 species
CAGUCGCCGCGGGAAUACAGAGGGUGCGAGCGUUAAUCGGAUUUACUGGGCGUAAAGCGUGCGUAGGCGGCUAAUUGAGUCGGAUGUGAAAUCCCCGAGCUUAACCUGGGAAUUGCAUUCGAUACUGGUUAGCUAGAGUGUGGGAGAGGAUGGUAGAAUUCCAGGUGUAGCGGUGAAAUGCGUAGAGAUCUGGAGGAAUACCGAUGGCGAAGGCAGCCAUCUGGCCUAACACUGACGCUGAGGUACGAAAGCAUGGGGAGCAAACAGGAUUAGAUACCCGAGUAGUCCCUGUCUCUUAUAC